rnacentral:rRNA from 1 species
UACGGAGGGUGCAAGCGUUGUCCGGAAUCACUGGGCGUAAAGGGCGCGCAGGCGGCUCAUGAAGGCUGUGGUGAAAGUCCGGGGCUCAACCUCGGAUCGGCCGUGGCGACUCGUGGGCUGGAGCACUGUAGAGGCGGGUGGAAUUCCGGGUGUAGCGGUGGAAUGCGUAGAGAUCCGGAAGAACACCAGUGGCGAAGGCGGCCCGCUGGGCAGUGGCUGACGCUGAGGCACGAAAGCGUGGGGAGCAAACAGG